rnacentral:rRNA from 1 species
AAGCUGGAUUCGCUAGUAAUCGCGCAUCAGCCACGGCGCGGUGAAUACGUUCCCGGGCCUUGUACACACCGCCCGUCAAGCCAUGGAAGCCGGGAGUGCCUGAAGUGUGCAACCGCAAGGAGCGCCCUAAGGUAAAACUGGUGACGUGGGGCUAAGUCGUAACAAGGUAAC